rnacentral:rRNA from 1 species
GAUGAACGCUGGCGGCGUGCCUAAUACAUGCAAGUCGAGCGGACGGACGAGAAGCUUGCUUCUCUGAUGUUAGCGGCGGACGGGUGAGUAACACGUGGAUACCCUACCUAUAAGACGGGGAUAACUUCGGGAAACCGGAGCUAAUACCGGAUAAUAUUUUGAACCGCAUGGUUCAAAAGUGAAAGACGGUCUUGCUGUAACUUAUAGAGGGAUCCGCGCUGCAUUAGCUAGUUGGUAAGGUAACGGCUUACCAAGGCAACGAUGCAUAGCCGGCCUGAGAGGGUGAUCGGCCACACUGGAACUGAGACACGGUCCAGACUCCUACGGGAGGCAGCAGUAGGGAACCUUACGCAAUGGGCGAAAGCCUGACGGAGCAACGCCGCGUGAGUGAUGAAGGUCUUCGGAUCGUAAAACUCUGUUAUGAGGGAAGAACAUAUGUGUAAGUAACUGUGCACAUCUUGACGGUACCUAAUCAGAAAGCCACGGCUAACUACGUG